GUGCUUGCUUCAGCAGCACAUAUACUAAAACUGGAAUGAUACAGAGAAGAUUAGCAUGGCCCCUGUGCAAGGAUGAUGCAAAUUCACGAAAUGUUCCAUAUUUUU
ensembl:snRNA U6 U6 spliceosomal RNA